GUCUCAGUUCGGAUUGCAGGCUGAAACCCGCCUGCAUGAAGUUGGAAUUGCUAGUAAUCGCGGAUCAGCAUGCCGCGGUGAAUACGUUCCCGGGCCUUGUACACACCGCCCGUCACACCAUGAGAGUCGGGAACACCCGAAGUCCGUAGUCUAACCCGCAAGGGAGGGCGCGGCCGAAGGUGGGUUCGAUAAUUGGGGUGAAGUCGUAACAAGGUACC
rnacentral:rRNA from 1 species